UACGGGGGGGGCAAGCGUUGUUCGGAAUUACUGGGCGUAAAGGGCUCGUAGGUGGCCAAUUAAGUCAGACGUGAAAUCCCUCGGCUUAACCGGGGAACUGCGUCUGAUACUGGAUGGCUUGAGAUUGGGAGAGGGAUGCGGAAUUCCAGGUGUAGCGGUGAAAUGCGUAGAUAUCUGGAGGAACACCGGUGGCGAAGGCGGCAUCCUGGACCAACACUGACGCUGAGGGGCGAAAGCCAGGGGAGCAAACGGG
rnacentral:rRNA from 1 species